CGGGUCAAGCAGCAAUGCGCCUUUAGAUGAGCCUGCGUCCCAUUAUUUAAUCCUAGUUGGCGGGGUAAUGGCCCACCAAGGGUACGAUGGGUAGCUGGUCUGAGAGGACGAUCAGCCACACUGGGACUGAGACACGGCCCAGACUCCUACGGGAGGCAGCAGUGGGGAAUAUUGCGCAAUGGGCGAAAGCCUGACGCAGCCAACCCGCGUGUGUGAUGAAGGCCUUCGGGUUGUAAAGCACUGUCGUGAGGGAAGAAGUUCUGACGGUACCUCACAAGAAAGCACCGGCUAACCCCGUGCCAGCAGCCGCGGUAAUACGGGGGGUGCAAGCGUUGCUCGGAAUCACUGGGCGUAAAGCGUCCGCAGGCGGGACGGUCAGUCGAAUGUGAAAGCCCGGGGCUCAACCCCGGAACUGCGUUCGAUACUGCCGUCCUCGAGUUCGGGAGAGGGGAGCGGAAUUCCUGGUGUAGAGGUGAAAUUCGUAGAUAUCAGGAGGAACACCAGUGGCGAAAGCGGCUCCCCUGGCCCG
rnacentral:rRNA from 1 species